CGCCUCCAGGGGUUCCCUCUCCAGGGGAAAAACAUACAGACACUCUUUAGCCAGCAUGAUGCUGCUGAACGUGGAAGAGUCGGUCACAGGGAAGAAGAACAGCAAUGGAGAGGCAGGGGAAUUCCUUCCUGAGGCUUUCAGAGAGGGAGAGUAUGAAGCUGCAGUUACUUUAGAGAAGCAAGAGGGUCUGAAGACACUUCUGGACCACCCUGUGACCCUGGGGGAGCAGCGGUGGGAAAGGGAAAAACAACAAGAGGCAGAGCUCAAAAAGAAAAAACUAGAACAAAGAUCAAAGCUUGACAAUUUAGAAGACUGUGAAAUAAUCAUUCAGCUGAAGAAAAGGAAAAAAUACACGAAAAGGAAAGUUCCAGUUAUGAAGGAACCAGAACCUGUGGAUGUGCCUAGGUUUCUGAAGGCUGCUCUGGAGAAUCAACUGCCAGUAGUAGAAAAAUUCUUGUCAGACAAGAACAAUCCAGAUGUUUGUGCUGAGUAUAAGCAGACAGCUCUUCACAGAGCGUGCUUGGAAGGAUAUUUGGCAAUGGUGGAGAAGUUAAUAGAAGCUGGAGCCCAGACUGAAUUCCAUGACAUGCUUGAGUCCACAGCGAUCCACUGGGCCAGCCGAGGAGGAAACUUGGAUGUUUUAAAAUUCUUGCUGAACAAAGGAGCAAAAAUUAGCACCCAAGAUAAGUUGCUCAGCACCACGCUGCACAUGGCAGUGGGGACCAGACAGUAGGAGUGCACAGAGUACCUCAUCGUCUGCCAGGCGGACCUCAACGCCAAGGACAGAGAAGGAGACACCCCCUUGCAUGAUGCUGUGAGACCGAAUCAUUAAAAGAUGAUCUGACUCCUGAUUACGGAUGGCUCCGACCUCAACAUCAAGAACUGUGCUGGGAAGACCCCGAUGGAUCUGGUGCUACACAGGCAGCAUGGAAUUAAAGCAAUAUUUGACAGCCUCAAAGCGAGCUCCUAUAAGACCUCUCACAUAACCACAUUCUAA